AUUGAACGCUGGCGGCAUGCCUUACACAUGCAAGUCGAACGGUAACGGGCCUUCGGGUGCCGCCGAGUGGCGAACGGGUGCGUAAUACAUCGGAACGUGCCCGAUCGUGGGGGAUAACGAGGCGAAAGCUUUGCUAAUACCGCAUACGAUCUACGGAUGAAAGCAGGGGACCGCAAGGCCUUGCGCGGACGGAGCGGCCGAUGGCAGAUUAGGUAGUUGGUGGGAUAAAAGCUUACCAAGCCGACGAUCUGUAGCUGGUCUGAGAGGAUGAUCAGCCACACUGGGACUGAGACACGGCCCAGACUCCUACGGGAGGCAGCAGUGGGGAAUUUUGGACAAUGGGCGCAAGCCUGAUCCAGCCAUGCCGCGUGCAGGAUGAAGGCCUUCGGGUUGUAAACUGCUUUUGUACGGAACGAAAAGCCUUCUUUUAAUACAGGAGGGUCAUGACGGUACCGGAAGAAUAAGCACCGGCUAACUACGUG
rnacentral:rRNA from 1 species